ACUACUGCAGCAAGCCUCACAUUUUAAAGCAAUCUCUAUUAAGCAGUAUUGUUUAAUGGUUAGACCAGCAGACAGUCAGGAGAACGGUGUUCUGCUCUCAACUCUGCUACAGUCAGUGUCACCCUCAGCAAGUAAUUUGACCUCAGUGUGCCUCAGUUUCCCCAUCUGUGCAACGCAGUGUAUUCUAGAUGCUCUGGUACCCGCCCUAAUUGAGCCUGAAGUCAAUAAUGCACUGAGUCAGCGUGGCAGAGAACGGAUUUAAACUACCAUAUCAUCAAGCUUAGUGAUGUGGAGAGAAGACUUCCACAUAUGGUGUGGGCUGUGGUGGAAAGAUGCUGCAAGGUUUCUCCAUGAAGAUGGGAUUGAGCCCAUACCAGUGAAGUCAAACAGCAAAACUCCCUUUGAUUGCAAUGGAGAUAGGAUUUCACCCUGAAAGCUUCAUCACCAACUUCAAUGAGAGCAGGAGCAGGCCCAUGUAGUCUAAAUGAUCCUUUUCUUAAUUUCAUCUCAUUAGUUACAAUUACACCCCUUUUCUCAGGCUAAAUAACACCUCUUCCAACCUGGUUUUCAGCUUUUGAUAUUGCAGAUCAGGGUAUCCUUUUAACUCACUAUAUACAUUAUUGGGGUUUUUAAUUAAAUGUUUUUCAUUAUAGGAAGGGGAGAAAAAGCCACUGACUGUAACAAAGAAAGUAAAAUAAAUACAAAACUGAAGUACAAUGUUAGCCCAUACUCAACAUGUCAUAAAGUAACAAUUUACAUCUGUUCACUGCUUUACAUUGCAAGAAACAAAGAAAACAGGAACAAGCCAUAGGAAAUGAGAAAAAGAGAAUAUGUAGGACAGUAUGUCAGACUGAAGAAAUACCAUGGAAAGCUAGGAAGUUGUCCCUAGACAGCCAAUCUGCUUGCUUGGCAAGGGGUUGAACUUGGUUGGUUUGGUUUAGUUUUUGUUUUGUUUUUCAUGUAAUUAUGCACUGGACCCAGCAGUUCUUAGCAAUGCCUGUUAUGGAUUAUGGACCAGAUUUUCCAAGUCUGGCACACUUAAUUUAAUGCAUAAGUGUGCCUAUCACACACGCAAAUACCAGAUAUGCAUGCACAGAUAAGGCCAGUUAUGUACCCAACAGACGUAGGUGCUCAUUUGUAUGCAUGAACACUUGA